rnacentral:tRNA from 1 species
GGUCGAUUGGUCUAGUGGUAUGAUUCUCGCUUAGGGAGUCGGAGCGCGAGUUCCUUCUCAAAAACCUAAGUCAAUUUGCGAGAGGUCCCGGGUUCGAUCCCCGGAUCGACCC